AUUGAACGCUGGCGGCAUGCUUUACACAUGCAAGUUGAACGGUAACAGGGUGCUUGCACCGCUGACGAGUGGCGAACGGGUGAGUAAUGCGUCGGAACGUGCCGAGUAGUGGGGGAUAACGCAGCGAAAGUUGUGCUAAUACCGCAUACGUACUGAGGUAGAAAGUGGGGGACGUUCGGGCCUCACGCUAUUGGAGCGGCUGACGUCUGAUUAGGCAGUGGGUGAGGUAAAGGCUCACCUAGGCGACGAUCAGCAGCGGGGCUGAGAGGUUGGUCCGCCACACUGGGACUGGGACACGGCCCAGACUCCUACGGGAGGCAGCAGUGGGGAAUUUUGGACAAUGGGCGGAAGCCUGAUCCAGCCAUGCCGCGUGUCUGAAGAAGGCCUUCGGGUUGUAAAGGACUUUUGUCAGGGAGGAAAUCCCUAGUGCUAAUAACACUGGGGGAUGACAGUACCUGAAGAAUAAGCACCGGCUAACUACGUGCCAGCCGCCGCGGUAA
rnacentral:rRNA from 1 species